UACGUAGGGUGCGAGCGUUGUCCGGAAUUAUUGGGCGUAAAGAGCUUGUAGGCGGUUUGUCGCGUCUGCCGUGAAAUUUCGAGGCUCAACCUCGAACUUGCGGUGGGUACGGGCAGACUAGAGUGCGGUAGGGGAGAUUGGAAUUCCUGGUGUAGCGGUGGAAUGCGCAGAUAUCAGGAGGAACACCAAUGGCGAAGGCAGAUCUCUGGGCCGUAACUGACGCUGAGGAGCGAAAAGCAUGGGGGAGCGAACAGG
rnacentral:rRNA from 1 species